rnacentral:rRNA from 1 species
CCUACGGGAGGCAGCAGUGAGGAAUAUUGGACAAUGGGCGCAAGCCUGAUCCAGCCAUGCCGCGUGCAGGAAGAAGCAUCUAUGGUGUGUAAACUGCUUUUGUACAGGAAGAAACACUCCCUCGUGAGGGAGCUUGACGGUACUGUAAGAAUAAGGACCGGCUAACUCCGUGCCAGCAGCCGCGGUAAUACGGAGGGUCCGAGCGUUAUCCGGAAUCAUUGGGUUUAAAGGGUCCGUAGGCGGUUUAAUAAGUCAGUGGUGAAAUCUGGUCGCUCAACGAUCAAACGGCCAUUGAUACUGUUAGACUUGAAUUAUAAGGAAGUAACUAGAAUAUGUAGUGUAGCGGUGAAAUGCUUAGAUAUUACAUGGAAUACCAAUUGCGAAGGCAGGUUACUACUUAUGGAUUGACGCUGAUGGACGAAAGCGUGGGGAGCGAACAGGAUUAGAUACCCUGGUAGUCCACGCCGUAAACGAUGGAUACUAGCUGUUCGGAGCAACCUGAGUGGCUAAGCGAAAGUGAUAAGUAUCCCACCUGGGGAGUACGUUCGCAGAAUGAAACUCAAGAAUUGACGGNGUGNGAGNGCGAGACGACGACGAGGGAGGAGG